UACGUAGGGUGCGAGCGUUGCCCGGAAUUAUUGGGCGUAAAGAGCGUGUAGGCGGCUUUACAGGUCCGUUGUGAAAACUCGAGGCUCAACCUCGAGACGCCGGUGGAAACCGUAAAGCUAGAGUCCGGAAGAGGAGAGUGGAAUUCCUGGUGUAGCGGUGAAAUGCGCAGAUAUCAGGAGGAACACCCGUGGCGAAAGCGGCUCUCUGGGACGGUACUGACGCUGAGACGCGAAAGCGUGGGGAGCAAACAGG
rnacentral:rRNA from 1 species